GUAGGUGGCAAGCGUUGUCCGGAAUUAUUGGGCGUAAAGCGCGCGCAGGCGGUCCUUUAAGUCUGAUGUGAAAGCCCACGGCUCAACCGUGGAGGGUCAUUGGAGACUGGGGGACUUGAGUACAGAAGAGGAAAGCGGAAUUCCAAGUGUAGCGGUGAAAUGCGUAGAGAUUUGGAGGAACACCAGUGGCGAAGGCGGCUUUCUGGUCUGUAACUGACGCUGAGGCGCGAAAGCGUGGGGAGCAAACAGGGAUUAGAUACCCUGGUAGUCCACGCCGUAAACGAUGAGUGCUAAGUGUUAGGGGGUUUCCCGCCCCUUAGUGCUGCAGCUAACGCAUUAAGCACUCCGCCUGGGGAGUACGGCCGCAAGGCUG
rnacentral:rRNA from 1 species